GGACCCGCACAAGCGGUGGAGCAUGUGGUUUAAUUCGAAGCAACGCGAAGAACCUUACCAGGCCUUGACAUCCGACUGGCGAGAGGGUAACGCCUCUUUACCUACGGGACAGUCGAGACAGGUGGUGCAUGGUUGUCGUCAGCUCGUGUCGUGAGAUGUUGGGUUAAGUCCCGCAACGAGCGCAACCCUUGCCCUCAAUAGCCAGCAGGUAAAGCUGGGCACUUUGGGGGGACUGCCAAGGACAACUUGGAGGAAGGCGGGGAUGACGUCAAAUCAUCAUGCCCCUUACGGUCUGGGCUACACACGUGCUACAAUGGCGCACACAAAGGGAAGCAAAGGCGCGAGCCGGAGCAAAUCCGUAAAAAGGCGCCCCAGUUCGGAUUGCAGCCUGCAACUCGGCUGCAUGAAGCCGGAAUCGCUAGUAAUCGCGGAUCAGAAUGCCG
rnacentral:rRNA from 1 species